GACGAACGCUGGCGGCGUGCCUAACACAUGCAAGUCGAACGGAAGGGUCCUGCUUGCACGGUUCUCGCGUUGCGAACGGGCGAGUAACUCGUGGGUGAUCUGCCCUGCUCUUCGGGUUAAGCCUCUGCAACUGGGUCUAAUUCCUGCCAGUUGCCAUUUUUAGCGUGAUGGUUGGAAAGUUUUUUCGGUGUAGGAUGAGCUCGCGGCCUAUCAGCUUGUUGGUGGGGUAAUGGCCUACCAAGGCGGCUACGGGUAGCCGGCCUGCGAGGGUGGACUGCCACAUUGGGACUGAGGUAAGGCCCAGACAGCGACGGGAGGGAGCAGUGGGGAAGAUUGAACAAUGGGCGCAAGCCUGAUGCAGCGACGCCGCGUGGGGGAUGACGGCCUUCGGGUUGUAAACUACUUGCGCUAGGGACGAAGCUUUUUGUGACGGUACCUAGAUAAGAAGCACCGGCUAACUACGUG
rnacentral:rRNA from 1 species